rnacentral:rRNA from 1 species
UACGUAGGGUGCAAGCGUUGUCCGGAAUUAUUGGGCGUAAAGAGCUCGUAGGCGGUUUGUCGCGUCUGCUGUGAAAACCGGAGGCUCAACCUCCGGCCUGCAGUGGGUACGGGCAGACUAGAGUGCGGUAGGGGAGAUUGGAAUUCCUGGUGUAGCGGUGGAAUGCGCAGAUAUCAGGAGGAACACCGAUGGCGAAGGCAGUUCUCUGGGCCGUAACUGACGCUGAGGAGCGAAAGCGUGGGGAGCAAACAGG